GACGAAGGUGGCAACCGUUGCUCGGAAUCACUGGGCAUAAAGCGCACGUAGGUGGCUAAGUAAGUCGGUGGUGAAAAUCGACCUUGGCUCGAACCAAGGAAGUGCCAUCGAUACUGGCCAUGCUUGAGGGACGGGAGGGGUGAGUGGAACUCUUGGUGUAGCGGUGAAAUGCGUAGAUAUCAAGAGGAACGCCGGUGGCGAAAGCGACUCACUGGACCGAUCCUGACACUGAGGUGCGAAAGCUAGGGGAGCAAACAGG
rnacentral:rRNA from 1 species